rnacentral:rRNA from 1 species
UGGGGAAUUUUGGACAAUGGGCGAAAGCCUGAUCCAGCAAUGCCGCGUGUGUGAAGAAGGCCUUCGGGUUGUAAAGCACUUUUGUCCGGAAAGAAAUCCUCUGGGUUAAUACCUCGGGGGGAUGACGGUACCGGAAGAAUAAGCACCGGCUAACUACGUGCCAGCAGCCGCGGUAAUACGUAGGGUGCAAGCGUUAAUCGGGAUUACUGGGCGUAAAGCGUGCGCAGGCGGUUUUGUAAGACGGAUGUGAAAUCCCCGGGCUUAACCUGGGAACUGCAUUCGUGACUGCAAGGCUAGAGUAUGGCAGAGGGGGGUUAGAAUUCCACGUGUAGCAGUGAAAUGUGUAGAGAUGUGGAGGAAUACCGAUGGCGAAGGCAGCCCCCUGGGCCAAUACUGACGCUCAUGCACGAAAGCGUGGGGAGCAAACAGGAUUAGAUACCCUGGUAGUCCACGCCCUAAACGAUGUCAACUAGUUGUUGGGGAUUCAUUUCCUUAGUAACGUAGCUAACGCGUGAAGUUGACCGCCU